GUGAGAAAAAUGCCGACUCCUAACCGGUCCGCGGUGUAAAGAAGGUUGGGGAACAUGAUGCCCGAGGAAAUAAGUUGACAGGACUCCACCUAUAACCCCUGUACGACAAUGAGUGAAGGAGCCUUGUUAUGCAAAGGUUUCAACGACACUUACGAAAAUUCCAUGUGCCAUGACUUCCAGACAGCCUCCGCAAAUGAAUCACGCCUGGCAUGACUGCGAUCAUUCACAGCCUACGUGUGGUGGGUGUGUCAGAAGUCUGUUCUGGAAA